rnacentral:tRNA from 1 species
CUUGCCUUCGUCCAGGAGGACACCUGGUUUUCGAGACCAGGCGACCUUCCGAUCGUGCCUGGAAACGCUGGG